UGUGUACUUCCUCCGUUCCAAAAUACUUGACUUCCAUUUGUCCAAAAAUGGAUGUACCUAUAUACUAAGACAUGUCUAGAUACAUAUAUAUUUUGACAAAUAGAAGGCAUGUAUUGUGCAACAGAGGGAGUAGAAU
rnacentral:pre_miRNA from 1 species